GGCAUAGCCAAGCGGUAAGGCAACGGACUUUGACUCCGUCAGUCGAUGGUUCGAAUCCAUCUGUCC
rnacentral:tRNA from 1 species